UCCAAACGUCAAUCACACCGUUCAUAAUGAAGAACCAUGUGUUGCGAACCUGCUGUCAAAAUUUUAGCUCAAUUGGAUUGCGAAUGGCUAUACGAUGGAGCUCUUGAUGAUGACUGCACAGUGCCUUAAAACCUAGAAUGUUCUCCUCUCCUCUCCGUUUCUGCGGACAACACACCCUCUUCUCUUUUUUUUAAUCAUGCUUCAAGAGACCGAAUGAGGAAAAC
rnacentral:lncRNA from 1 species